CCAUUUUAUUUGCACUAGCAUGCUAUAACUAAAACCACCGGUACAAAUUUUAUACUAUAGCCGUUGUUGAGCUUCUCUGUACUAGUGCUCCUUUCCUUUGGAUAUGUGUACGCUCCACCACUAAUGCUACCACUACAGCACGCAGUGGCUUCCCCGAGUGCCAAUUGCACUCGCGGAAGGCCCAGUUGCACUGGUGAAGCCUUCCCCGAGUGCAAUACUCAGGGAAGAGCCUCCGGCUAAUUCUCUAAUGGGGAAGCCACCUUUCUCGAGAGCCGAAAAUCGUGCACUAGUGGAAGGCUUUGCCAAGAGCCGUGCUGACACUCGAGGAAGAAUUGAACCAUUGGUGGCCGGCCGGCGCCAUUUUCUUUUUUUUUUUAAUUUUCUUCCCCAAGUGCAACACUCAGGAAGAGUUUUGAAUUUUUUUAAAUACUCUUUUGCUGAGUGCCUUGGUUGUGGCGCUCAGGGAAGAAACCCUCUUCCGUGAGUGCCGCAGCCAAGGCACUUGGGGAAGAAACCCUCUUCCCGGUAUGCCGUAGCCCAGGCACUCGAGGAAGAAACCCUCUUCCCCGAGUGCCACAGCCCAUGCACUCGGGGAAGACACUUUGAAAAUCUUUUUUUUUUGCUUUUCCAUGUAAACAAUAAAGCAUAUAUAUAUAUCACAAACCACAAAUCAACAGAAAUAUAUCAUGAACCACAUUUAUAUAUCACAAACGACCAAACUUGUAUGAAAUCCACAAUAUAUUACAAACCACACGUUUAAAAGUACAUAUUAUUCUAAGUUUACAAGUUCAAUACAUAAAAACGACUCUGAAAGCGGCUCACGGUGACAGUCCAGUGUGUGAUGCUGAUGAGAGUUGGGACGCCCCAGCUUACGAUCUCGGCGACGGUCCAGGUGUGAAUAGCACACCGUGCGAUGCCGGCGACCCUCCGACAUGGUUCGAUGCUGCCCCCGAUUGAUGCUACAAAAAAGAGAGGACACUGCAUAUGAGUGACAAGAUAAAAAUGUAAGGAGUGUAAAGAAAAAUUGAAAACACUUUUCUUGUUUUCACAUUGGCUACAGGGACAGAAGUGUCUCUCACUCCCUUAGCUUCCUUAAAUGCAUGGUUCAAGAAUUUGUCAGUCUUAUCCAUCCAUUCAUGAGUGAUUUGAGCCUGACUUGGGAGUCUCAUGUAUAUCCACUCACGGUUAUAAAUCCGCUAGCAUAUACAUAUAAUGGAGUAAUGUAACCAUAUUUUGCAUCUGCAUAGCGCGCCUAUUGUCUAAUAGGUGAGGAUAGGUCCUAAUUCCACCCGUUGAAAGCCCAAAUUUGGUUUUGGUAAUUAAUGACACCAAGUUGCUAAUGCCUUGUGUUCAAGUGAUUUGAGUUAGGCAUAGCAACACAUGUGAUGAAGGUGCAUGGUGGCAUGGAAAGGUGGCCACAUGAUCACAAAGGGAUGAAGCAUGAAGUGAAGAUCAUGAUGAUAGACGAGGAGCAAAAGUUAUCAAGGCAAAGGUAUAAACAUAGGGUUUUACUUUUGCCGGUCUAAGAUGAGUAGAGAAGUGAUUG
rnacentral:lncRNA from 1 species